CGGGGAAUUCAGGAUCCUGGGCUGUAUCCCCCGGCGCCCUGGGAUCCCGGGCCUGCGCCACUGGAAUCGCGCUCCAGGGCCCCGGCUCCG
rnacentral:pre_miRNA from 1 species